rnacentral:tRNA from 1 species
GCCGAAGUAGCUCAGAUGGUAGAGCAACUCCAUGGUAAGGAGUAGGUCGCCGGUUCGAUUCCGGCCUUCGGCU